rnacentral:misc_RNA from 1 species
GUGGGCGCUACACUUGGCCCACUUUGGCCUUCAACAUGCCACAAUUACCAUGCAAUUUACCAAAGCCUUUACGUGACCAUGCCAUGCAAUAAACCCCACGUGAAGUUCCCCCAUGCAAAAGUCCACGUCCAUUUCUCAUGUCCAUGCAAAUCACCAUGCAAGGCAAUUCAAGUCCCAAUUUCCCACAAUAAUUCGGCCAAUCAAUAUUCCACACAUCCCGGCUUUCAUUCGGGCAGCCUCAAGCACAAA